rnacentral:rRNA from 1 species
AUUGAACGCUAGCGGGAUGCCUUACACAUGCAAGUCGAACGGCGUGGCGAACGGGUGCGUAAUGUAUCGGAACGUGCCCAGUAGCGGGGGAUAACUACGCGAAAGCGUAGCUAAUACCGCAUACUUUUGGAGCGGCCUCUACCGGCUUAGCUUGUUGGUGGGGUAACGGCUCACCAAGGCGACGAUCCGUAGCUGGAUUGAGAGGACGACCAGCAACACUGGGACUGAGACACGGCCCAGACUCCUACGGGAGGCAGCAGUGGGGAAUUUUGGACAAUGGGGGAAACCCUGAUCCAGCCAUCCCGCGUGUGUGAAGAAGGCCUUCGGGUUGUAAAGCACUUUUGGCAGGAAAGCGGUACCUGCAGAAUAAGCACCGGGUAACUACGUGCCAGCAGCCGCGGUAAUUC